rnacentral:rRNA from 1 species
CCCCUAGAUGUCCUGGGCCGCACGCGCAAUACAAUGUAAAGUUCAGAAAGCAUAUCCUGUUCCGGAAGGCAAUGGGUAAUCUUUUCAAUAUUUUACGUGUUAGGGAUCGAUCUUUGCAAUUAUAGAUCUUGAACGAGGAAUACCUAGUAAGUGCAGCUCAUCAGGCUGUACUGAUUGCGUCCCUGCCCUUUGUACACACCGCCCGUCGCUCCUACCGAUUUCGAGUGGUCUGGUGAAUCUUUUGGAAUUAGAGUGCAAACUCAAACUAAGAUCGAUAAACCUUAUCACUUAGAGGAAGGAGAAGUCGUAACA